AAUUACGCAGCCGCGUAGGGCCCCCGUCACCAGCAGGGCCCCGAAGUGGCGACAAAAAUUAAAUUAAAAAAGACCCAAAUCUGGCAACCCAUUUCAUAGAACUUCCUUACCAACGUGUGCUCUGAAUGUUGUGCAAAAGAAAGUUGCCUGCACUUUAAUGAUCCCCCCUGUCAGCACACAUGAACCAAUUUGGCAACCCAAAUAAUGACGUUACACCAUUUAGCAACGAUUGGUCAACAUAAUUGCAUCUGAGUCUGGCAUGGUGUGCAUUUACGAGCGCAUUUUGUUUCAAUAAAGUUGGGGAAAAGAAAAAAAACAGCACAUUUUGUCACGCUGAUCAAAGCGACAACAAGAAAACGUCAUGCCUCAGAGACUUUAUCCACCACCAGGAGCUAAAAAAAGAUAAAGAACUUCAACAUCAAUCACAAGUUCCGUCUCAGCCGACAGUUUCUUCUGCUCUCAAAAAGCAUCAAAAGUACUGGAGUAGGUGCAGCGUCCACAUCCCAAGAUGUUCCUGACUUCACUGAAGAUUUCAUCUCAGGGGCUCCAAGAGAGGCGUAUAUGGAAGAGGAGCCGACUGGAUCCAAAAUUCCACCUACCUCAAAUCCAGUUGGUCCAGCUGAAUGUCUAACCACACUCUCUGAUCCAGUAAGAAUGGAUUUGGUGCAAAGAGGUCCUUUUCAGACUGAUAAAGACUGACUUUCCAAACUCCCCCUCAUUGAGCUGUUGUUUUCUUUACUUUGGAUUGUUUUAUAGUUAUUUGAUUUGCUAUUAAGUUGCUGUUUUUAAUAAGUUGGAGUUUUGUGAAUGUCAUUUGUUGACUG